rnacentral:rRNA from 1 species
GACGAACGCUGGCGGCGUGCUUAACACAUGCAAGUCGAACGAAAAGAGGGAAAGAGCUUGCUCUUUCCGGAAUUGAGUGGCAAACGGGUGAGUAACACGUAAACAACCUGCCUUCAGGAUGGGGACAACAGACGGAAACGACUGCUAAUACCGAAUAAGUCCCAAGGGCCGCAUGGCCCAUGGAAGAAAAGGUGGCCUCUACCUGUAAGCUAUCGCCUGAAGAGGGGUUUGCGUCUGAUUAGCUGGUUGGAGGGGUAACGGCCCACCAAGGCGACGAUCAGUAGCCGGUCUGAGAGGAUGAACGGCCACACUGGAAUUGAGACACGGUCCAGACUCCUACGGGAGGCAGCAGUGGGGAAUCUUCCGCAAUGGGCGAAAGCCUGACGGAGCAACGCCGCGUGAGUGAUGACGGCCUUCGGGUUGUAAAACUCUGUGAUCCGGGACGAAAAGGCAGAGUGCGAAGAACAAACUGCAUUGACGGUACCGGAAAAGCAAGCCACGGCUAACUACGU